UACGUAGGGGGCAAGCGUUGUCCGGAAUCAUUGGGCGUAAAGCGCGUGUAGGCGGUUCGGUAAGUCAGCUGUGAAAGUCCAGGGCUCAACCCUGGAAAGCCGGUUGAUACUGUCGGGCUAGAGUGCGGAAGAGGCGAGUGGAAUUCCUGGUGUAGCGGUGAAAUGCGCAGAUAUCAGGAGGAACACCAAUUGCGAAGGCAGCUCGCUGGGACGUUACUGACGCUGAGACGCGAAAGCGUGGGGAGCAAACAGG
rnacentral:rRNA from 1 species